GUUUAUCAAAAACAUGUCUUUUUGAAUUUAAUUUAAAGUCUAACCUGCCCACUGAAAUUUUAAAUGGCCGCAGUAUUUUAACUGUGCAAAGGUAGCAUAAUCAUUAGUCUUUUAAUUGAAGGCUGGAAUGAAUGGUUGAAUGAAAUAUUAACUGUUUCAUAUAAAUUUGUAAUAGAAUUUUAUUUUUUAGUCAAAAAGCUAAAAUUUUAUUAAAAGACGAGAAGACCCUAUAAAUCUUUAUAUUUAUUAUUAUAAUUAUUAUAUAGAAAAUUUAAAUUUUUAUAAUAAUAAAUAUUUUAUUGGGGUGAUAUUAAAAUUUAAUAAACUUUUAAUAAAUAUAUAACAAAAAUUAUUGAAUUAUUGAUCCAUAAAUAAUGAUUAAAAAAUUAAGUUACUUUAGGGAUAACAGCGUAAUUUUUUUAGAGAGUUCAUAUUGAUAAAAAAGUUUGCGACCUCGAUGUUGGAUUAAGAUAAAAUUUAGGUGAAGAA
rnacentral:rRNA from 1 species